CGCCAAGAAUCUAUUGUUCAUACUGGCAGCAGCGUCUGUGAAGGGAAAAGUAUCUGUUCAGGGCUCACCUUUAAGGAAAACCUUCUCCACAGAAAGGCAAAAUUUAAACUGACAAGAGAAAAACCUCUAAAAGCUAAAGGAUAUUGUAUCAAACUAAACAAGCAUCAUGGGACGAGGUGAGAGUGAGGGGUGGGAGGAAGAGCCUAAGACAACUCAACCCCAGAGUCAUGGGGACAACAAGGAAAAAAGUUCCAAGGGUGGAGGCUGUCCAAAGUGCUGCUUGAAGACCAGGGACUGUCUGAUGAGCCCAGAAUGUGGCAGAGCACUGCAGAUCUCCAGUGUUGUCGCCUUCUGCGGAAUGUGUAUCCGUGCAUGGACGUAAUCACCAAGACCUUCGGGACUUCUAUGAACUAUGAAGAAUCUUUCAAUCUUCUGAUUGAAAUAUUUUAGUGUACUCUGAAAUGAAAAAUGUUUCAUUUUACUCUUUACUUAGUUUUUCUUAACUUCAGUAAAUAUUUAAUAUAAAAAAAUAAGUUAGCAGUAUUUUAAACAGAUAGGCCAGUUAUUAAAAAUGUCAUACUUUACCAAAAUAUUUGAUUUAUGUUGAAAGAGGGAAGUGUAUUUGUAUCUAUGCAGUAAAUAAUGUCAUAAUGUAGAAAGCUGGAGUCAAGCUUGUUUGUAUAUAUUGUAAUUUAAAGAAUUACAUGGGAAGAGUUUGAAUGUAUACAAUAACUAAGUAAGCGUAAUUUAUUUUUGAGUCAAAGUAAAAAAUUUUUAUCUCCCUACAAAUGGGUCACAUGUAAAAGAUAAAUAAUAUUCAUAUUGAAAACCUGUUCUCACAAUUUGAUCACAACAAAAAUCAUCUGACAUUCAUCAAGGCCUUCAAGUUGAAGGCUUUGGUUCAGUUUGCCCAUUUUUAGAGACUGUUAAUUUUGUGAAACAAAAACCACAUUUCCUUCCAUUGGACAGUAAGCAGAUAAUAAAAAUAUAAAUCAUCAGUUGUUAAAUCUGAUAAAAUGUAAAGAUGAUUGAUAAAAAAUGUUCUGUGGCAGAUUGCUCAAUUUUGCAUACAAAAAAAGUCAGUUGUGAAAAAAAAUAAAAGGCAGGAAAAAUUGAAAAUUUGACGUUGUUUUACAGUACUAGUAAGGUUGCAUGUGUGGGUCAGGGUUAAAUUCUGUACAAAAAAGAACUCCAACAACUAUAAAGUACAGGAGUUGCAUCAUGUUGUGUGUGUGUUUUGUUGCAGGAAGAACUGGUGCACUUCACAAAAUAGAUGACAUCAUGAGAAAAAGAGCUCUAUGUGCAAAUAUUGAACGUCUCAAUAUUUAGUAAAUGCUGCAGACUUUUUAUACAGAAAAUUCUUAAAAUUAUAUGUAGCUCACCAAAAGCAUAUUAGUUUUCAGUAUUUGUUAUUAGUGUAUAUGUUAGAUUCAUUUGUCCUUAUGUAGCUGCCUUCCUGUGUCCCACUGUGUCAGCAAAGGCAUCACAAUACAGGGGUGACAUUUAAGGCGGACAGAUUAAGGCCUCUCUCCAAUUAAUUUCGCUUUCCUCUCCCUGCUAAAUACACAAUCAACCAAAGGCAAAAUGUCACUGAAACAAACGAGGAGCCGCCGUGUGGCUGACAAUUACCACCAAGCACCUCAGAAAUGCCAAUAUGUUAAACUGGGAGCGGUGUGUGAGAUGAAUGAGCACAAAUGGCGAUCCAGAGGCCUGGUGUUGCAGCCUUGCCAAAAAUGGAAAGCGUGCGGUCCUUGGCAUUUUUAUUUGGUAAUGACAGCUGACAAGUCGAUGCAUAGGUCAAACGUUUCAAAGGUGUUGACCAUAACAUAUCUGAUAAAUAGGAUCACAUCAUUAGUAAUACAAGAAAAAUGCACCGUUCUGCACAGCAUUAUAAGCCGGUAUUGAUUACAUGAUACCAAAUCAAUUUUCUGAAUUCACCGUAGUGUCUUAAGUCAAUGAUACAUUUUUAAUAUAUAAACUAUUAAGACCACAACACAGUUUUAUGCUGUGUUAUUUCUGUACACAAGCCCAGACAAGUCUAAAAUCCCAGCAAUAACUACUAAUACCCAGGAAAAAGCGAGCUAGAAACGACCAGGCACUAUGACUAGAGAGCAGAAACAAUCUUAUAAUGGACUGAGGAAACCAGAAACAAUACAGAGGUACAGUAUAUAAAAGGGAAAUUAUGAUCUGCUGGUUUUCCAGAUAAUUUAAGUUUGAUAUUCAUUUAAGAUUUAAUCUGGGGAUAUUUAGUUAUGCCUGUGGGACAAGAACUCUUCCUACUCACUAUUAAUGAACUAUUAUCAUGAUGUAAUCACAAAGUUAGUUUAUUUUACUGAGUUUGUUUUAUGUUUGAGUUGUCCACAUGCUUAAGCAGAGCAUCUAGCUCUUUUGUGCUUUUUAAUAUAUACACAUUUAUUAUGUUUUAUUGCAUUUGUGACAACCUUCUCUUUUUCUCUCUAAAAAGGUUUAAUUUUCAAGAGUUUUUCCUGAGUAAAUCAGUUGUUGCAUAAAUAAGUUUAUAUAUAUAUAUAUAGAUAUACGCUGUAUAGAUAUAAUGAUGUUGACUAAAAAGUGUGGACAGCACUGAAAUAGAACCAAAUCUACUUUAGUUAAUGGAAACCCCCAUUGAGACUGACCAGGAUUUCAAGCUGCUCCUGUUGGACAGAAACUCACUUGGAAUGCAGCAAACCCAUCUGUUGUACUCAGACUGAGCCAUCUUAAAGGGCUGAAAUGUUUCAGUGUUGGGUGAUCAGCACCCACCUACCCUCUUACAGUUUAGAGUCAAGAAAACCCAAUCCCUAUCUGGGGACUACACUGUGUUUGUCAGGUUGUCAAAAUGGAAAUGCUCCUUCACAUAAUUCUUUUCCACAUUUUUUUUCUUGUCAGGCACCACAGUCUGCCCAUGUGAUUAUCUCCAUCCGCAGCAAGUCACGGUGUGAUGAAUAGCCAUUUUAUUCAAAAUAAAAUAACUAAAUACUGCUAAUAAAUAAUUUUUAAAUACUCCAUAAACUAAAUAAAGGUUCCAAUGAAGUUUUCUCAAGGUUUAGGUGGAAUCGUUUUUUGGGGACUGUGUGGACCGGAAAGUCUACGUAGUUCCCACUGGGUCUCUGAGGGGAUGGUCUCAGCAGCUUCAGCAAGAAUUUAUUUUUGAUAUGCCAGUCCCCUCUCACUUUCAAUGCAACAAUCUGCUGAAUGCAAAUACAACCGGGGUUAGAGCCCUGCUGUGCCCUGCAGUGUUUAAAGGCCUUCAAAUUGCUGCACUCUGAUGAGACCCAAAUGAACGAGACAUGAAUGAAAUGGCUUUUCAUGCGAUGCAUUUAGUCGAAGAAAUUCUAAAUGGACAAAAUAUGACAAAAAAUACUUUGGUGAGUCAAGGUUUUGCACAGUUUAAAGCAAAGGUUCUGUUGGUGAAAUGUAACUAUUCCAUAGACAUACGAAAUAAUUAUUUUCACAAACAUUUUUUUCUUAUGAACAAUCAUAAAUGUUUUGUGGAGAAUUUGCUUUAAUUAUGCCCUUGUGUAUCUGACACAAACGCUGCUUUGUUUGCUUAACGCCAGCAAGAAAUAAGAGUGACAAUGGAGACAUUUUA